UACGUAGGGUGCAAGCGUUGUCCGGAAUUAUUGGGCGUAAAGAGCUCGUAGGCGGUUUGUCGCGUCUGCUGUGAAAACCCGAGGCUCAACCUCGGGCCUGCAGUGGGUACGGGCAGACUAGAGUGCGGUAGGGGAGAUUGGAAUUCCUGGUGUAGCGGUGGAAUGCGCAGAUAUCAGGAGGAACACCGGUGGCGAAGGCGGGUCUCUGGGCCGAUACUGACGCUGAGGAGCGAAAGCGUGGGGAGCGAUCAGG
rnacentral:rRNA from 1 species